ensembl:ncRNA F32B6.13 ncRNA
UUGAAAAUUCACACAUUCUGAAAACAAUGUUCAACUACACAUGUUUUCUGUCCAAUUCUCCCGCCAACAAUAGCUUCAAUAUGCAUUUUUAUUGUCUGCGUUGCAAGCUUGUAUUUUGCAUCAAACA